UCAGCUGCAGUGUGCACGGCCCAAAGCAGUGACUGCCCAGCACUUUUAACGUUUCAUAUUUCUUUUCUGCACCUCGGUUGUGCUGCUUGAAAGGCCGAGGCGAGAGUCUGAACUGAGGUUUGUCCUUGCCAUCUUUCUGUCCAUAGGGACCUACUCCUGGGCCUGCUGACAGUCAGCUGUUGAAGGGGGUCCAACAGAGGGACUAAAAGACAGAAGCAGCAGCAGCCUCGGCACCAGUGAGAUCUAGACAAAAGACUGGCUGGGCCCCUGUGAUCAGAUCUCCAUCAAUCCACAAGUCUGCAGGUUUGGGCCUGAAAGACGUGCCAGACCUGCUGCCAAAGCCUUGGCCUCCACCUCACCCUGCAGACAUGGCUGUACACACACGCAUAUAUGCAAGCAUUCACUGACACUUAUAUAUAUGUACAACUUGGGAUAAACGUGAAUCUAUUAUUGGUGUUUUCUGAUUGCAAAAAACACUGAACUCACUUGUACCUCCUUGGAAAUAUGCGAUCAUAUUUUGAUAUUCUUACCAUUUCUGCAGUCAGUUUAUCUCUGAUAAUGGGACUGUCAUACCACAUGUGCACACUUAGUCACGAUCAGAGCCACAUUCACAAGGUCCCUCUCUAGAGUCAACCGUAAACAUACAAAUUUGAGUUGUCGGUUGUCUGUCAGGCAUGCCCUAGUUUUAAAAAGGUAAACACACCUACACACAUUCUCCCAUGCUUGGUCACACCCACUGCAGCACAGGCCACACAGUGGGUCGGCCCUCAUAGCCGAGGACACUCAGCUCGACUAUAAGGGAGAAUAAUUAGUCAGGUGAAGUAAAUCUCGACACCUAAAACUUGCCAUCUCUCUUUGAAGUUGUUUUCACCGCUGCCCGUACACUUAAUGCUACAGCACCGACUGAUAAUUGCAUGCUCUGAGCUAGUCUUGUAAUUGCGUAGCACAUACCUGUCCAGGGCGUUAUCCCAUCUACUGAACAUUGGGCCCCUCUACUAGAUGGGUAAAACGAUGCAUUUACCUUUUCUAUAUCAGAUGUUAUUUUUAUGCAACUCAUUCUGCUGUGCAUGUGUCCCAUAGAUGUAAAGGUUAGCUCAUAUCCAGAUGUUUAUUUUUUCUCAAAUCAAAACCCUAAAUGUCAAGGAGCUAGUUCUUAAAUGCUUAAAAUAACACUUAGACAUGAGAUCAGAGCAUCAAAGGUUAAGUGAUGACGGUUUUGAGUUGUCAGUUGCCAUGUGAAUCAGUAGAGAUUUUAAUCCUGCGAUUAUUUUCAUGGCAUCUGCAUGAGUCAGGCCGCGUGCAUGUGUUUGGCCAACAAUGUCGCCUUUAAGGAGGGCAUAGUGCAGCUAGAAGGCAUCUAAACAUCACACAAAAAUUAUCAUGGCUGUGUGAUAUAAGCUAAUUUCAUCAUUUUGAGGAAAUGGAUGAAAAGGAGAAAUAUUUAGGUCUUUAUGUAAAAAAAAACUGGAAGAGAGUGAGAGAAAGUGGGAGCAAACAAAGGCUGAAAAGGAGAUUAAGCUGCCUAGUAUUUACCUGGCUGUUCUGCAGAGAAGCAAAUUGGAAUGAGGAGUGGCUACAGAAGGUUGUCACACAAGGUCUGUCAAAAAACAAAACAAAACAAAACACAGAAUUAAACCUAUGCUAGCAAAUUUAACCAUAUUACUGAUUAAACACAGCAGAUUAUAAGAUACCUGCAUGGCAGAAAUGCAAGUCCAUUUUAUUUUUCCUAUGUGUCACACAAGUAGUUAUUGUUUGCUUUGCUAAUUUUUUCAAACACUAAGCCUUUAAUUCAACCCUUGCAUGCCUGAUGAAAAAUUGUGUAAAUGCAUUUAUAUUAUGGAUAACUACUCCUGCUUUAGUGUAUUAUUGCAUCUAAGUUGUUUCUGACCAUAUAAAAUUUGCACAUUUUUAGAGUUUAGGCAAGGCAAGUUUAUUUGCAUUUCACAUUUCAGCAACAAGACAAUUCAAAGUGCUUUACACAAUGAACGCAUAAGAAAAGUACUGAAGCCCUAAAAGGCAAGUAAAAACAAAAAAAGAAUUAUAGAAUAAUUUUUUUAGUCUGGCUAAAUUACUUUUUUCUCAAUACCUUAAAGGUUAGCUGCAAGUAAAAUAAAUUUUAGUAGCUUUUUUAAAUGUUUGGUCUUGCAACACCUUGCUCCGCCAGUAGAGGCACUAGAGUGAAUCCACCAGCCUUCACUAACAGCUUUAUUGUUCAAAUAGAUAGUCAAAUGGCUGGUUCCCAAUAACCAAUGUCUCAUGUUCUAAAUGAGAUUCUCGUAAAGCAAAAUAAAAUACAGUAAAAGCAGGUAAAUAGUGUAUUUGUUGGCCAUGCAAUGUUGUUAUAAUACCAAGUUUGUAUAUUCAUGUGCGACGUUGAAUUAACUAAAGCAUUGAUCAAGGAUAUCUGUAGGACAAAUUCCAACCGCCCACCAUGACUGCUCUUUAUUGGGACCAAGACUCUAUUUUGCUAAUUGGCUGAAAACCUGCUGUCAGUACAUGCUUACCAUACCUUCACACAGUAAAUUAGAAAGGGAUAUGAUAAAUCACUAGGCAAAAAUUAAAAUAUGAUCCCUUUAAUGAUUUAUAUAUGUAUGUAUUUAUUUAAUUAUAUUUUUCUAUUUAAUAUAUUAAUGACAACAGCUGAAUAAGAACUCAUUGGGAGAAGUAAACUAUUUUUUUUUACCUCAGUUAACAGAGUAGGAAAAACAUUCUCGCUUAAUUUUUCUAAGUUUAAUUUUUUUUGUCUAAAGCCCGGAAAGGCAACUAAUAAAAAAUAUUGUGUCUCAUUGUGUACUUUUUAAAUUCCCCUUCUGUUCAUAAAAGGGGUGGCACAGCCAGCUAGGUGAAUGUGAGUCCAUUAAGUUAUAUUAUGUUUAAAAAUCUAUAAGUCUGGUUAUAAAAGAUGUUUUGGGAAGUUUUUGAUAAGAAAUAUGACCUUUAAAUGCCAUAUAUUGAUUCAGUCCAAAAUGAGCCUGCUUUUAGAUUCACUGUGGCGGUUUCAGAGACCUAAAGGCCUACAUCAGACGCCGGCUUCAGCGGGAGUUGGCUGUUCAAAUACCUGGCCCACUCAGAGCUCGCCCCCCUGCGCGCUCCCCUCAUUCCCAUGGAGCACUGCACCACCCGAUUCUUCGAGGCGUGUGACGCUGACAGCGACAAAUACAUCGCCCUGGAGGAGUGGGCCUCCUGCUUCGGCAUCAAAGAGCGAUCGUGGAAGGCAUGGUCCGGGACAGGAACUCCUUGGCUGCAUGGAGAAGUAACAGAUGGAGUCCAGAGGUGCCACUUGUUUGAUGGUGGACAGGGUUCACUCGGAGGAAGAUGAGGUUAUGAAGUCCGGUUGCUGCCAGCGGAGCUUGAUGGAAUAUCCAAACUCGAAUUCUUGGCAUAAAAAGGUGAAGGCAGCUCCCUCCAUCGCUGGUGGGGUCACUCUGGGAGCUACGCAGGCCCCACACAAUGCCGUGGCAGCAGUGUGGCUUUUACUGGGCCUUGUACUGCUGCUUUUACGAGAGCCAGACAGACGGAUCCCCUUCACGCCGUAAAGCCAUCAACAAGGGGAACAAAGAGGGCAGGUGCUGAGGACUGCAUUGAGUGCUCACCUGCACCCAGCAGGGGAAUAUAGUGCGUCCAGCCAUGCCAAGAGGCCCUCCACAUUCACAACCCCACUCACCAGGCACUAAUGGGCUAAGAUGGCAAGCCAAAGAGAAAUUAUUUCUCUUUCUAGACUGAAGCAAAUCAUCCGCCAGCGGCGUCAAAUAUGACAGUACAUGUAGGCAAUGUUUUGUUCGAACAAACUUGGCUUCUGCAAUAUGUAAAACAUCCUGUAACAAGUUGCUGCUAAAUUGUGUAAUUAUCAACCUUUGAAAAUUGAUAGUGAUGGUGGUCGACUCUUGGACCUGCUACGCAGAUUUGUGUUUCCUUUUAAAAAAAGAAAGAUUAACAUUGAUUUUCUUGCAAAAGUACCAAUACCAAAGAAUGUAUUUUAUUAGGAUCUUAUUUCAUAGGCCAACACAGGAGAGCACAUAAUUGCAAAGUGGAAGGAAACUUAUACUUUUAUACAACUUUGUUAAAAAUAAUGAUUUAGUAAGACUGUAUUGUCUUUGUUGUAUUCUGUUCUUUGUGCAUUGAUUUGGAUUCUUAUUUUAGUGUGAAUCUUUAGUUUUUAAUUCAGUAGAUCCUUAUGUGUCCUGUGUUUACUUCUGUGUUAAUGAGACAUUUUCCCUUAGCUCCUUAGUUCAGGUCCUCACCAAGCUUCUCUGUAUUCGGUUAAUUAUACACACCUGGUUCCCAUGUCGCUAAUCAGCUCCCAUUGUCUCACCUGUUUGCCAUUAGUCUCCAGUUUCCUUGGUGUCUCAGAGUCUGCACUGGUCCAACUCUGUCACAAACCUUGACAACUUUCUUGGUGGUGUGAAGAAAACUAUCAUUGAAAAAAGCCUUAAAAUGUCAGAUUUCCACUUUACCACAAGAAUUUAAUGGACAGAGCAAAUAAGUGCAAGAAUGUAAUCUGGUCACAUUAGGCCAAAUUAUUAUUUUUUGGCUGGAUACAAAAUGCUCUGUGUGGCAGAAAGCACUGAGAAACAUGGUGGUGGCAUCAUGCAUUUCUUCAACAGGGACAGGGAAGAGUUGAUGGCAAGAUGGAUGGAGCUAAAUACAGGACAAUCCCACAUGAAAACAUGUUAGAGGCUGCAAAAGAUGUGAGACUGGGAUGAAGGUUUACCUCCCAGCAGGACCAUCACCCUAAAAUACAGCUAAAGCUACAAUAGAGUGGUUCAGAUGGUGCCCCAUAGCCUAAAAUCAUUCAGUUAAAAUUACUUAUGGGUCACAAAAAAUAUAUUUUUAAAAAUUAAAAACACAAGAAUAAUUUCCUUUGUGAAUUUUUUAACCCAUUCAACAUAAAAAUAAGCACCCAAUAUUAUAAUGACACAAAUAAAUGGUCCAAUUUUCAUACAAAAGGGAUUUGUGAACAUAAAAAGGGUCUUAUUAAAAAAAAGUCAUACAAUGAAACUGAAAUUAAGAAAUAUUUUGAGUCUUACCUAACAUUUUUCAAUUUAAGAUUUGAAUGUUGCAUCUUGUUUGAAAGGCCUUGCAUCAAUGAAAAGGAGACCCUAUAGAAUAAAAGGUGUCCAUGUGCAUUAGCAAAACUUGUGCCGUUUGUGAACCUCUGUCGGGGGCUGCACAAAAUCCUAAAAAUGUGAGGCAGGACUUGAAAAUAAAUGUUUACACAGGCUCCUAAUCCAAUUAAUCAGAGCUUGAGCUUUGUUAUAAAACAGAAUUGGCAAAAAUUUCAAUCUCUAGAUGUGUCAAUCUGGAAGAAACAUUCCCAUUUCUACCAGUAUGCCAAUUGGUAAAAUGUAAAACUCAGCCGAUUGUGGAGAGUCACUAUCUUUACAGAAUAAUUUUGACUGUACAGUAAAGGAUAAUUUAUAACUUUGGAAAAAAAAUACUGUACGAUUAUUAAAAAUAGUGUAAUUAGAAGUGGAAACCUGUGCAAAUGACAGCAGGGAUGUAAACUCAUUGAGUUGGUUGGGAGAGGUGAUGGUUAUUAAGUCUAACAGCUGCUGGGAGGAAGGAUCUGCAAUAACUCUCCUUUGUCCACCUAGGAUGCAACAGUCUGUCACUAAAGGAGCUCUCCAGUUCUGCAACAGCUUCAUGCAUGAGGUGGGGGACCUUGUCCAACAAUGAUGCUAUUUUUGCUAGUCCUUCUGUCUCCCACCACCUGCACUGGGUCAAGGGGGCAUCUUAGGACACCACUGGCCUUCCUGAUGAGCUGAUCCAACCUCUCUCUCUAAGCUGUAGUUAAGCUAAUGCGCCAACAUACUACAACAUGGAAGAUGGCUGAUGUACUCCAAAAGACCUCAGUCUCCUCAGCAAAGUAGUAGAAUCUUCUCUAAUCCUUCCUGUAAAGAGCAUCAAUGUUGUGAUUUCAGUCCAGUUUAUUGUUCAGCUGAACACCCACCUACUUAUGAGAGCUAACUUAUAUUCAGUGUCAGUUUCCUGGAUGUUAACCGCUGUCAGUGUGCUGGGUCUACGCUUGCAGAAAUCUGCCACCAGCUCCUUAGUUUUCCCUGUGUUGAUCAGGAGGUGGUUCCAACAUAAACUGGUUCCGUUUCGAAUCAGUUUAUGUUGGUCAAUUGCACAAAAUCCCAAAAAACAUAAAUUGAAGGUUGAGGUUGAAUUAUUGGAAGGUUUGAAUACUUUUGCAGCGCACCGUGGCAAGUGUUUUUGUGUCAGUACAUGGUUGGGGAUUUAUUAAACUGUUUACCUAGUUAAAGCAAAAUAUAAGUGGGCCCUGUGGGGAUUUCAGACAGACAGAGAGCUCAGAGAAGACAUAUGGUAAACCUAAGCCACAGGUAGGCAUGGCAUGAGGCAGGCAGUCAGCAGGGGCAGACUUUGAGCUGCUGCUCUGGUUGAAGUGACAGAUGUGUGGUGAAUCUUUAACUCCUCUAACUCCCCACUGUCACUGCAUCUGUCUCCACUCUCUGUGAGGAUGACCCAGCCCCUCCUGUGAGAAUAAUAUCUAGCUAAAGAGGGAACUAUCACUUGACAUAUUGAUUAGUCCAGCUUGCCCUGGCCAGCUUCAUUUAAUGACCUCUGGGAGUCAUUAUUGUCUUUAUGAUCAGUUCACACUUUUCCUUACCAUAUGGGAAUCCUCCUGUUGCAACCUUAAGGGUGAGAUUUAUAACCUGCCUCAAUUGAAGACGUGUUCACUUCUUUACUUAUUGAAAAUCUGAAGAUGUUCCAGUUUGUUUGCAUGUAUAAUAAUCUUUUACAAAAUAAUUAGGUCACACCACACAACAGGUUCAAAUACAAUAGCAUGCACAGGGGGCAAGUAUGCUCCAAUCUUUAACAGCAACCUUAUUCACUGUCUCUAUUUAAAUCCUUCUAUAGAAAACAUAUCACUGACAGUAUAAGUGAUACAUCCCACUUUCUUCCCAUUUACACGUUCUGUCUAAUCUCCUCAGACGGCCCAAAUGGCAGGGACAGUGUCCCACUCUGUUUCCCCACUCAGCCAUGGCACUGGCAAGAGAGGUUUAUUUUAAUUGAAAAUUAGCUAAACAAAACAAGGGCAAGAGGAUCCCUGAAUAGGGCCCCUUUCUCCGGGAGCUCCUGUGCCGUUGAAUAAUGCAUAUGGGAGAAAGUAAACAGCAGCCGUGGGCCUUGCUGGGGGAACAAUGGGCCGCACACAGCCCAACCAGGGCGCCUGAUUUUAUUACUGGCCUGUCAAUCCCCCCAGCCUGGGAACUGUGGGACCUAGGCCAGGCAGCAGCUGCUGACCGCUCCGCGCUGACCCAACACUCCCAGCAACCUGCAGGAGGAAGCUCUCACACCGCUGCAUACCUCUGUGCACCGCACUGUCCACUCCUAAUCUCUCCAUUCACACACUCAGUGUGGACUAACUGAUUCCAUUUCCUGUCAAACUAGAUGAUCCGUUUAGUCUGAUUCAUCCAAACUAAAUCAAGUUUACUAUUUCAAAUAUUCUACAAUCGAAGUGUGGUGGAGGGGUACAAUUUUAACUGCAACUGACCUGACACAUUUUAUUAGAAAAAGUAAUUUUAUUUUGACUUGAUAAAUUCUCAUUUUCAAGGUUCUGGUCUGUGGUCACUGUGGCUGCUUCUGAACUUUUUCCUUCCACCAGAUAUUGUUGUGUUUGUUUGUGUGACUGUGUUCGCUCUGCAUUGAGAUUCUGGUCUUGCUUCAGGUUUCUGCCAAGUCCCGGUUGCCAUGCCUACUUGCGACCGGUCUCCCAGGAUGAGUAAUGAUGUGAUGUGGCUCUGCUUUAAAGUCCCAACAAAGACCUUAUUACCACUGCAGCACCUCAUAACACACCAUUGUUGUCAAGUGCUCCUGAUAUUAACCUGCUUGCUCAUGGGCUUCCUCCCUUCAUGCUGGAAGUGUGUGUGUGUGUGUGUGUGUGUGUGUGUGUGUC